rnacentral:rRNA from 1 species
AGCAGCCGCGGUAAUUCCAGCUCCAAUAGCGUAUAUUAAAGUUGUUGCAGUUAAAAAGCUCGUAGUUGAAUUUCGAGACCGGUUUAUUGGUCGUGCUUUUGUACGUACUGGUAUUAUUGGUUUCUCCUUUCUGACGAAUCAUAAUGCCAUUAAUUUGGUGUUUUGGGGAAUCAGGACUGUUACUUUGAAAAAAUUGAGUGUUUAAAGCAGGCUCACGCUUGAAUACAUUAGCAUGGAAUAACGAAAUAGGACGUUUGAUUUUAUUUGUUGGUUUCUAGGAUUGACGUAAUGAUUAAUAGGGAUAGUUGGGGGACAUUAGUAUUCAAUUGUCAGAGGUGAAAUUCUUGGAUUUAUUGAAGACUAACUACUG